GACGAACGCUGGCGGCGUGCUUAACACAUGCAAGUCGAACGGAAAGGCCCUGCUUUUGUGGGGUGCUCGAGUGGCGAACGGGUGAGUAACACGUGCGUAACCUGCCCUUGACUUUGGGAUAACUUCAGGAAACUGGGGCUAAUACCGGAUAGGAGCUCCUGCUGCAUGGUGGGGGUUGGAAAGUUUCGGCGGUUGGGGAUGGACUCGCGGCUUAUCAGCUUGUUGGUGGGGUAGUGGCUUACCAAGGCUUUGACGGGUAGCCGGCCUGAGAGGGUGACCGGCCACAUUGGGACUGAGAUACGGCCCAGACGGCUACGGGAGGCAGCAGUGGGGAGUAUUGCGGAAUGGGCGGGAGCCUGAUGCAGCAACGCCGCGUGCGGGAUGACGGCCUUCGGGUUAUAAACCGCUUUCGCCUGUGACGAAGCGUGAGUGACGGUAAUGGGUAAAGAAGCACCGGCUAACUACGUG
rnacentral:rRNA from 1 species